rnacentral:rRNA from 1 species
UACGUAGGGGGCAAGCGUUGUCCGGAUUUAUUGGGCGUAAAGAGCGUGUAGGCGGCCACACAGGUCUGCUGUGAAAACUCGAGGCUCAACCUCGAGCUGUCGGUGGAAACCGUGUGGCUAGAGUCCGGAAGAGGAGAGUGGAAUUCCCGGUGUAGCGGUGAAAUGCGCAGAUAUCGGGAAGAACACCCGUGGCGAAGGCGGCUCUCUCGGAAGCGCAACUGACGCUGAGACGCGAAAGCGUGGGGGAGCAAACAGG